UACGUAGGUGGCAAGCGUUGUCCGGAAUUAUUGGGCGUAAAGCGCGCGCAGGCGGUUCUUUAAGUCUGAUGUGAAAGCCCACGGCUCAACCGUGGAGGGUCAUUGGAAACUGGGGGACUUGAGUGCAGAAGAGGAGAGUGGAAUUCCACGUGUAGCGGUGAAAUGCGUAGAGAUGUGGAGGAACACCAGUGGCGAAGGCGACUCUCUGGUCUGUAACUGACGCUGAGGCGCGAAAGCGUGGGGAGCAAACAGG
rnacentral:rRNA from 1 species